GUAUAGCGUCUGGAACGGACGGUAAUCCCGGAUGGUCCUUAGGAGGGAAUCCUCUCUAGGGUAAAGAUUGGGAUCUUCGGACCUUUCGGUCGGGGAGGGGCUUAUUUCCCAUCAGCUAGUUGGUGAGGUAACGGCUCACCAAGGCAUUGACGGGUAGCCGGACUGAGAGGUUGGCCGGUCACACUGGGACUGAGACACUGCCCAGACUCCUACGGGAGGCUGCAGUCGAGGAUCUUCCGCAAUGGUCGAAAGACUGACGGAGCGACGCCGCGUGGAGGAUGAAGGCCUUCGGGUUGUAAACUCCUGUCACGGGUUAGGAAUGACCGUGCGUUAAUAGUGUGCGGUUUGACAAAGGCCCGAGAGGAAGCCACGGCUAACUCUGUGCCAGCAGCCGCGGUAAUACAGAGGUGGCAAGCGUUGCUCGGAAUUACUGGGCAUAAAGGGCGUCUAGGCGGAGCAGCAAGUCGGUUGUGAAAUCCCUCGGCUUACCCGAGGAAGUGCACCCGAUACUGCUGUUCUUGAGGACGAGAGGGGAGAGUGGAACUCCUGGUGGAGCGGUGAAAUGCGUAGAUAUCAGGAGGAACGCCGGUGGCGAAAGCGACUCUCUGGCUCGUUCCUGACGCUGAAGCGCGAAAGCUAGGGGAGCGAACGGGAUUAGAUACCCCGGUAG
rnacentral:rRNA from 1 species